UUACCCUCCCAGAAUGGCACUCUCCUCUGGGCUGCAUUUACUGACUCUGAUGGGGUAAGUUUGUUUUAGUGGGAAAAAGAGAAUGAAUACUUUCUAAGGACAUGCCAUAGUGACAAAGAGGUGAGGAAAAUGUUAAACUAAUUAUAUGCAAUAUGUUCUGGUCUCCUAGAUUAGAUAUAUUACUUUAUUUCCCCACUGUGAAGGGUGAACUGAAUAUAAAGAAGGGCAGAAUUUCCUUGCCCAGUAUUGCUCCUCCCUGGUUAAUGGAAUGAAUAUUUCCUUUGUAGACCAAGAGAGACAUUAAGGAAGAUCAAAACCAUAGUUCUCACUAACAACUUUCUUCCCUUUUCCUAGCUACCUCUUAUGCAUUUGUUGACAGUCUAAACACCUCUUUCCAUCACAAGCUUCUAUGACCACACAGAUAUAUCUAUGACACUUCCCCUCAAUCCAUGGAUGGCUAUCUGCAAUGGGAAAAAAUAACUUCUGAAAUUUUAAGGAUUAUAAGUUACAUGAAGAAGAAGAAGAAGAAAAAAAGGGAUCGAACUCAGGACCUUGCACUUGCAAAGCAGGAGGCAGAACUGUUGCACCCAGCGAGAAAGAACCAACCAGAGACCGAUAUUAAAUCCACACAGGAGUUUAUUACCGGCCGGGACCUAGCCGAGCAUCGGACUCGAGCAUCGAUUGUGGGAAGACAAACAUGUUUUAUACACCUUUGAGGCCAACAGUUUCUAGGCCCCCCAUGGGAUAGAACUAGUAAAGCAAGCAAAAGGUACAGAAUCUGAACGUCCUGCUGUUAGAACAUUUGUAAAACAAUAGUUGAUUAAUUGUUGUUUCUAAGAGACUCUCUAAGGGGAGGAGGUUUCUAAGCUCCCUCCUUCUGAGUUCAUCUAAAGGGCAGGCAGGUGGGUCAAGCACCAAUAUGGAGUCUGUCUUGCUAACAAGGGUAGAACCACUGAGCUAAGUCCCCAGCCCCCAUGCUUUUCAUGUAAUUUCUACCAACAUUCUUAUUUGAGAUUUGGCAACCAAAAUUGUUUAAAUUAGACAAAACAUGUAAACACACACACACACACACACACACAAUCAUAUUCUUAUGUCAAAAGAGCUUCCCUGAUAAGAAAGGGUAAAUGUAAGAGAAGCAGUGACAUCUUACUAAAGGCCAUGCAUGAGAGGAGCAGAAUUAAAUGAUAUUUGGUUGUAUGAGGCCUAACACUGUAGCUUUAGACACUGUUCAUCUGAACAAAUAUUGAUAUUAUUGACCACUAUAAUAAAGGACAGCUUUCCUCCACUAAACCCAGUUAGAGUGCCUGACCUAUUUUGUAUUACUUGGUUCUGCACAGAGCUGCUCAAUC
rnacentral:lncRNA from 1 species